GCCGGUGCUGGACCCGCUCGGUCCGGUGCUCGACCCGCCGGGGCCGGUGCUGGACCCGCUCGGUCCGGUGCUCGACUCGCCGGGGCCGGUG
rnacentral:tRNA from 1 species